AUUGAACGCUGGCGGCAUGCCUUACACAUGCAAGUCGAACGGUAACAGGUCUUCGGAUGCUGACGAGUGGCGAACGGGUGAGUAAUACAUCGGAACGUGCCUAGUAGUGGGGGAUAACUACUCGAAAGAGUGGCUAAUACCGCAUGAGAUCUACGGAUGAAAGCAGGGGAUCGCAAGACCUUGUGCUACUAGAGCGGCCGAUGGCAGAUUAGGUAGUUGGUGGGAUAAAAGCUUACCAAGCCGACGAUCUGUAGCUGGUCUGAGAGGACGAUCAGCCACACUGGGACUGAGACACGGCCCAGACUCCUACGGGAGGCAGCAGUGGGGAAUUUUGGACAAUGGGAGCAAGCCUGAUCCAGCAAUGCCGCGUGCAGGAUGAAGGCCUUCGGGUUGUAAACUGCUUUUGUACGGAACGAAAAGCCCUGGGUUAAUACCCUGGGGUCAUGACGGUACCGUAAGAAUAAGCACCGGCUAACUACGUGCCAGCCGCCGCUGUAAUAC
rnacentral:rRNA from 1 species